AACAAAAUCUCCAAUGACAAAAAAACUUCUUAAAUGUUAACAGCACAAUCCAUAAAAAAGUUUAAUGUCUAUAAGAGCAGGUGCACAAACAAAUGAGUUGCAGCAUAGAAACCAAGCAUAACAUGUGCAUUCCAACUUUUCAAGUAGAAUUUUUGUGGCGUUAGUACCUAGUUCUUGACAGGCUUGGCCAUCUUGUCGAACUACUUGCGCAUUGGAGGCUUGAGCUGUAGCUUGGUAGGGGUGUCUUGCUUGGUCUUGCUCGUGGAUAGACACCAUCCUUGUCCUCUCCCGCUGAUGGAUGGACCCAUCACGGUCUUGCUGUUCAGUAAGUCUGAAAAACCACACCAGACCACCGCAAGUUAGCUCCUUGCAGAGAAAAUCGUAAACAGCUUAGGGCCGACCAAGAACAGUGCAAGUGGAAAUAGCUUUGGAACUGAGAACUUGUAGGAGCGGCCAUUGUAGAGGUUGGAUCGUGUCCAAGUGUUCCACGGCGACUCCGCAAUGGGGCUGCAGUAGCUGGUUUGGUCGAN
rnacentral:lncRNA from 1 species